CAAUUUAUUCUCCGCUGGGGCUGGCGCUGCUCGGGACCUGCUGGGGACCUCGGGCGGCAUGGAUCCCCCGCAGCUGCUCUUCUUCGUGAAUGGCCGGAAGGUGGUAGAAAAACAUGUGGAUCCUGAAAUGAUGCUGCUACCAUACCUGAGGAAGAACCUCCGACUCACAGGCACUAAGUAUGGCUGUGGAGGAGGAGGCUGUGGGGCCUGCACAGUGAUGGUGUCACGAUACAACCCCAGCACCAAGAUGAUCAGG